ACUAAUCGGUCUAAAAUUUUCCAUACUAAUAGGAUUAGGAAUUUUUGAAAUAAGAACUAUAUUUGUAACAUUCAUAGGUUUCAAAUCCAUCCCAUUAUUAAGAACUCCUAAACAAUAUUGGCUUACCUCUUUACCCACAAUAUGCCAGCAUCUUUGAAAAAGGAUAGUUAGAAAACCAUCAGCUCCUAGUGCCUUGGUGGGACCCAUAUUUCU
rnacentral:lncRNA from 1 species